UCUGCCCGCCGCCACCGCACUCGCAGGCCGCAGCUCAGCCCCAUCUCUCUCCCUUCAUAGGCCGUGCCACUGGAAACACCAGAUGAAACAAAAGGAGAGAGAGCGGAGAGCGAAGCGGGGCCGCGCCAAGCCAGGCAGGACGAUUUCCCCACUAGAGGCCGCAGCUUCCCCCGCUGCUCCGGGCCUGGCUGGCUCCCCAAUAUCCACUGAGGCCUGAUGGCACAGAGUACGAUCAUCACACACGAGGCGGCGGGGGUUGGGGGAGAGAGACUGCGUGGUCCUCAUAUAAUCAUGCCUUGAACGGAGUUCAGGGGGCCGUGCGCCCUAUAAAGUGUGCUUCAGAAGGAGGACUGCAGCCUCAAUGCCAUUCCCACUGUUUCCCUAAAGGAUUUGAAGAUAAAUGGACAGGAGUGGGGCACAGAAGAAUGGGUAUCCUUUUAAGAUUAUGAAAGAUGAUCCUCACAGGGCUGAAUGACUUCAUGGCAGAAAAAUAUCUGGAACUUUUUUUUGAAAAUGGUACAGUACAAAUACUGCUGUUGCAUCAGCAUGGACCCAUCAAAUCUUAUUAGUCUUGAAAUUCAGAUCCAUGUCCUGAUGCAAUCUACCUUAAGAAUGGGUCAUUUGUCAAAUCGUGGACAGUCUCGAUAAGGAAUUUUAUGGUUUCCUUAAACUAGUAACAGUCAAAGCUGAUUGUUUAAGCAAUUUCUUAUCUUGCAAAUAUGUAUCACAUUCUACAAAUACAUAUAGUCAUAUGGUACUUGCAUUUUUAGAAGCAGCAUUAACAUUUUUAUUAUUAUUGUCUUAAUUUCACAUAGUACAAAAAGUUUAAAUGUGGAGAAAUUGCACUUCAUAGCAAUGCAUGUUGUUCUUAAUUAGCCUUAAAUGCUAAUUUUCCCACUUGCACUGAGUGAACACUAAAGUCAUUCACAUUAGAAAUGGCAUAUACUCUGCCAUUAAAACAUUUUUAUGUCCUUUGACUCAUCUUUAAAUAAUUAGCCUCUUUGCUGCUAUAUUGCAUCUUUAGUAUAUAAUGACAGAUCAUUGGAAGAAGCAAUUAAAAGUUUUCCAAUGGUAGUAAGGGAGGAAUCAUUUUACUUGAAUACUUGUCUAAUUUUAUGCUUACUUUGAUGAAUAAAGGGUUUUAAUGCAAUAUUUAAGCAAAAUACUUCCCUUACAAGUUUGAAAUGAUUUUAUUCAUAUUAAUAUCUAUAGACUGCUUUUCCAGCUUACAAUUUUGAAACAAUGCAACUUAGAAUUUUAAAACAAUU